CUAUCCAAUUGAGUAAUCGAGAGGAUAGUUAGUGGCGAAAGGGUUAGUAACGGGUAGGUAACGUACCCUGUGCUUUGGGAUAGCGUCGUUCGCCUUCGGGCGAGCUUCCGAAAGGGGCGGUAAUACCGGAUAAUAUCAUUUGUCGAUGGACGGAUGUUCAAAGAUUUAUCGGCGCUGGAGCGGCCUAUCUCCUAUCAGCUUGUUGGUGAGGUAAUGGCUCACCAAGGCAAUGACGGGUAGCGGGACUGAGAGGUUGGCCCGCAACAUCGGGACUGAGACACUGCCCGGACCUCCACGGAGGGCUGCAGUAACGAAUCUUGCGCAAUGGGCGAAAGCCUGACGCAGCGACGCCGCGUGCGGGAGGAAGUCCCUCGGGAUGUAAACCGCUGUCAGGGGGAAGAAAGUUCACUUCGGUGGAUUGAUCUAACCCAAAGGAAGUCACGGCUAACUUCGUGCCAGCAGCCGCGGUAAGACGAAGGUGGCAAGCGUUGUUCGGUAUCACUGGGCUUAAAGCGUGUGUAGGCGGGAAGGCAAGCGUCCUGUGAAAGCCCCCGGCUUAACCGGGGAAUUGCUCGACGAACUGCCUUUCUUGAGGCAAGUAGGGGUGCAUGGAACUCUUGGUGGAGCGGUGGAAUGCGUAGAUAUCAAGAGGAACGCCGGCGGUGAAAACGGUGCACUGGGCUUGUUCUGACGCUGAGACACGAAAGCGUGGGUAGCGAACGGGAUUAGAUACCCCGGUAG
rnacentral:rRNA from 1 species